rnacentral:ncRNA from 2 species
GGGUCCGGAGCGGUCCAUCGCUCCGGAGGAAUGAGAUGGUCGGGCCGCCAUCU